rnacentral:misc_RNA from 1 species
AAGUCGUAACAAGGUUUCCGUAGGUGAACCUGCGGAAGGAUCAUUAACACGUAUCCAAACGUUAAAACCCCCCCCGUGAACCUUCAUCCUGCUCUUGUAACCCGCGUAGUUCGCAAUCUCUGAUAAAUCAUAGCCCGGAAAGUUGUAGUGAUUCAGAGACCUCUGGCUACGUGCGAACAUUGGAACAGUUACAAUCGAGCGGUAGUUCUAUAGGCAAUGUUUCCCCAAGCGGUCUACAGGAAUCGUAGAAGCGCCAUCCUUGCACAAUCAAUGACACCGUACACUCGGGCAGGAGCUUUGCCAGGGUCCCCAUACCCCCUAAUAACCCCACAGUUUAAUGUGAAGCUCAAUGUAAUAACCGAACAAACUGUUAACAAUGAAUAUCUUGGUUCUC